GGCGAGGUCCAGCCUGACCCUCGGCUUGAGAGCCGCCUUCGCGUUUGGACACUGAGCUUUACCUCGUGCGUCUUCGGUGGAGGGGAGAGAAGGUCAGAUCUGGGUGAAGACAGAGGACAGACGGACCUUCGGCAGGAGGGGGUGACCCGCACCCUGCUACUGCUGGGUCGGGAGCCAGCCUCGCGUGGAGGUGGCCAUGGGCGUGGAGACGGACGGGUGGGACAGCGGCGGCCCCCAGGGCCUGCUCCCCGAGGGAGCCUGGACGGCCCAGGGCAGAGACCGCCUCUCUCUCUCGCCUGUGGAAGUGGAGGUCGGGCGCAGAACAGGCUUAGAGCGUGAACCUUUGGCCCUCCUCUGAAAACCUUUUUAAUUUAAAUGAAGAGGACUGCUGAGUAACAGGCAAUGGAAGCUGCUGUUACAGGGAAGUUUGGGACGGUCUCCAGGCCAGUGACCUGCGUGAACAGGGGACCUUCUGGAGCCUGGGGUGGUGCCAGGGCCACACACCCGUGGGCGGGCACCAGACGGCGGGACAGCAGGCCGCCGGUCUCAGCCUCCAACCUGCAGCCCAGCCGGCCUUUGCUUGGCUGGGGUUUUUAUUGCCGAGUUGUUGUAAAGGUUUCUCUUCCUCCCUUGCUCCUGCAAAAUUGAUGGUCUCGCCCUCCAGACGGGCUUCAGGCAGAGAGCUGCGUCUGGGGGCGGGGGUGGCUUGCAGCUGCCUGUUUGCCUCCCCGAGGAGAAGUCACAGGAGCUCAGCGGCGAUAACAGAGGCAGGAGACGCGGGAAACACAGCAGCUGUGUGCUCCUGAAGCACGUGCCCGGCUUCCCUGGCGGCUCAGAUGCAGGCCCAGCCCAGCAGAGCCCUCCAGAGGUGGACGCCCAGCGGAUGGACGCGGCGCUCAGCCCGGCUCCGAGGACACCGCUGCUGGGUGACCGAGACGCUGUCUGAGUCCUGUCAACGUCAGGAUGUGAGGGGAAGCUCUGGCUGCAGCCCCUACACUUCCAAGAGACGUCCAGGAGGCCCGGGGUGCUUGUGGUAUAGGCCAGCAGGGUCCUCACCAGAAACACCCCAAACAGCCAGCAGGCAGAGUGCAGGGGGCCCGCGAGGAGGCAGGCAGCUGGCCACAGGACGCCCAGGACGGCUGUGCAGCGUGUCUACAGUCAGACCCCAGGACCUUCUGGAGGGUGAGCCCUGCGAGGGGCGCCAUCCCUCACUGCGCUCUGCAAGGUUCUUCCCCCCACAUGCACGCACCUGUCCACGCAGGCAGCGAGACGCAAUGCCCUACCCAGGCCGCAGACCGGCAGAUGGAGCCGCGGCUGACGCCUGCCCUCCUCUGGGCCUCAGGGUCCCCUUUGGUGCCCAGCAGGCCUCACGGGACCAG
rnacentral:lncRNA from 1 species